CCUACGGGAGGCAGCAGUGGGGAAUAUUGCACAAUGGGCGAAAGCCUGAUGCAGCGACGCCGCGUGGGGGAUGACGGUCUUCGGAUUGUAAACCCCUUUCAGUAGGGACGAAGCGCAAGUGACGGUACGUGCAGAAGAAGCACCGGCUAACUGCGUGCCAGCAGCCGCGGUAAU
rnacentral:rRNA from 1 species